UGUUUGGUUGUGAAAGCAGCUGGAGAAGCCAAAGAGAGAAAGUGACUGUCCUUGCCCAGGAGCAGAAGUAGACGAUCAGGAAAUGAAGGAUUCUGUUAAAAGUGCAGACUGCAUAGAAAGGCUGGCACGGAAGUACAUGCAGAGGUGCACAGUAGAGUCGAGCACAGAGUCCGAGCCCGAGUCCGGCGCUGAGGUCUCAACUGGAGGACUCAAGAAAGUGAGGAAUGCCAAGGGGAAGC